AUUGAACGCUGGCGGCAUGCCUUACACAUGCAAGUCGAACGGCAGCGGGGGAGAAGCUUGCUUAUCCUGCCGGCGAGUGGCGAACGGGUGAGUAAUACAUCGGAACGUGCCCUGUAGUGGGGGAUAACUAGUCGAAAGAUUAGCUAAUACCGCAUACGACCUGAGGGUGAAAGUGGGGGACCGCAAGGCCUCAUGCUAUAGGAGCGGCCGAUGUCUGAUUAGCUAGUUGGUGGGGUAAAGGCCUACCAAGGCGACGAUCAGUAGCUGGUCUGAGGGGACGAUCAGCCACACUGGGACUGAGACACGGCCCAGACUCCUACGGGAGGCAGCAGUGGGGAAUUUUGGACAAUGGGCGAAAUCCUAAUCCAGCAAUGCCGCGUGUGUGAAGAAGGCCUUCGGGUUGUAAAGCACUUUUGUCCGGAAAGAAAUGGCUCUGGUUAAUACCUGGGGUCGAUGACGGUACCGGAAGAAUAAGGACCGGCUAACUACGUGCCAGCCGCCGCGGUAA
rnacentral:rRNA from 1 species